rnacentral:lncRNA from 1 species
CCACACCAACUCAUAAGUCACAUCACCAACAGUCCGAAGAAUCUCAAAUGGACUAAUAUACCUUGGGCUAAGCUUGCCCCUCUCCCCAAACCUCAUACACCCUUUAUGGGUGAAACUCAAAGGAAAAAAUGAUCACCAACGCCAAAUCUUAAGUCACGAAGUCUACAAUCAACAUAGCAUUUCUGCCUACUCUGAGCCGUUCUAAGUCUAUCCUGAAUGGCCCGAACUCUAUCC